rnacentral:misc_RNA from 1 species
GAUGAAGAACGUAGCGAAAUGCGAUACGUAAUGUGAAUUGCAGAAUUCAGUGAAUCAUCGAGUCUUUGAACGCACAUUGCGCCCCCUGGUAUUCCGGGGGGCAUGCCUGUCCGAGCGUCAUUGCUGCCCUCAAGCCCGGCUUGUGUGUUGGGUCUCGUCCCCCUUCCCGGGGGGACGGGCCCGAAAGGCAGCGGCGGCACCGUGUCCGGUCCUCGAGCGUAUGGGGCUUUGUCACCCGCUCUGCAGGCCCGGCCGGCGCUUGCCGAUCAACCAAAACUUUUUUCCAGGUUGACCUCGGAUCAGGUAGGGAUACCCGCUGAACUUAAGCAUAUCAAUACGCGGAGGA